GAAUGCUGACAUAAGUAACGAUAAAGCGGGUGAAAAGCCCGCUCGCCGGAAGACCAAGGGUUCCUGUCCAACGUUAAUCGGGGCAGGGUGAGUCGACCCCUAAGGCGAGGCCGAAAGGCGUAGUCGAUGGGAAACGGGUUAAUAUUCCCGUACUUGGUGUUACUGCGAAGGGGGGACGGAGAAGGCUAUGUUGGCCGGGCGACGGUUGUCCCGGUUUAAGCGUGUAGGUGUGUGUUCCAGGUAAAUCCGGUUCACUUUAACACUGAGGCGUGACGACGAGGCACUACGGUGCUGAAGCAACAAAUGCCCUGCUUCCAGGAAAAGCCUCUAAGCAUCAGGUAACAUCAAAUCGUACCCCAAACCGACACAGGUGGUCAGGUAGAGAAUACCAAGGCGCUUGAGAGAACUCGGGUGAAGGAACUAGGCAAAAUGGUGCCGUAACUUCGGGAGAAGGCACGCUGACACGUAGGUGAAGUGAUUUACUCAUGGAGCUGAAGUCAGUCGAAGAUACCAGCUGGCUGCAACUGUUUAUUAAAAACACAGCACUGUGCAAACACGAAAGUGGACGUAUACGGUGUGACGCCUGCCCGGUGCCGGAAGGUUAAUUGAUGGGGUCAGCGCAAGCGAAGCUCCUGAUCGAAGCCCCGGUAAACGGCGGCCGUAACUAUAACGGUCCUAAGGUAGCGAAAUUCCUUGUCGGGUAAGUUCCGACCUGCACGAAUGGCGUAAUGAUGGCCAGGCUGUCUCCACCCGAGACUCAGUGAAAUUGAACUCGCUGUGAAGAUGCAGUGUACCCGCGGCAAGACGGAAAGACCCCGUGAACCUUUACUAUAGCUUGACACUGAACAUUGAGCCUUGAUGUGUAGGAUAGGUGGGAGGCUUUGAAGUGUGGACGCCAGUCUGCAUGGAGCCGACCUUGAAAUACCACCCUUUAAUGUUUGAUGUUCUAACGUGGACCCGUGAUCCGGGUUGCGGACAGUGUCUGGUGGGUAGUUUGACUGGGGCGGUCUCCUCCUAAAGAGUAACGGAGGAGCACGAAGGUUGGCUAAUCCUGGUCGGACAUCAGGAGGUUAGUGCAAUGGCAUAAGCCAGCUUGACUGCGAGCGUGACGGCGCGAGCAGGUGCGAAAGCAGGUCAUAGUGAUCCGGUGGUUCUGAAUGGAAGGGCCAUCGCUCAACGGAUAAAAGGUACUCCGGGGAUAACAGGCUGAUACCGCCCAAGAGUUCAUAUCGACGGCGGUGUUUGGCACCUCGAUGUCGGCUCAUCACAUCCUGGGGCUGAAGUAGGUCCCAAGGGUAUGGCUGUUCGCCAUUUAAAGUGGUACGCGAGCUGGGUUUAGAACGUCGUGAGACAGUUCGGUCCCUAUCUGCCGUGGGCGCUGGAGAACUGAGGGGGGCUGCUCCUAGUACGAGAGGACCGGAGUGGACGCAUCACUGGUGUUCGGGUUGUCAUGCCAAUGGCACUGCCCGGUAGCUAAAUGCGGAAGAGAUAAGUGCUGAAAGCAUCUAAGCACGAAACUUGCCCCGAGAUGAGUUCUCCCUGAGACUUUAGGUCUCCUGAAGGAACGUUGAAGACGACGACGUUGAUAGGCCGGGUGUGUAAGCGCAGCGAUGCGUUGAGCUAACCGGUACUAAUGAACCGUGAGGCUUAACCUUACAACGCCGAAG
rnacentral:rRNA from 1 species